AUUGAACGCUGGCGGCAGGCCUAACACAUGCAAGUCGAGCGGAUGACGGGAGCUUGCUCCUUGAUUCAGCGGCGGACGGGUGAGUAAUGCCUAGGAAUCUGCCUGGUAGUGGGGGACAACGUUUCGAAAGGAACGCUAAUACCGCAUACGUCCUACGGGAGAAAGCAGGGGACCUUCGGGCCUUGCGCUAUCAGAUGAGCCUACGUCGGAUUAGCUAGUUGGUGCGGUAAUGGCUCACCAAGGCGACGAUCCGUAACUGGUCUGAGAGGAUGAUCAGUCACACUGGAACUGAGACACGGUCCAGACUCCUACGGGAGGCAGCAGUGGGGAAUAUUGGACAAUGGGCGAAAGCCUGAUCCAGCCAUGCCGCGUGUGUGAAGAAGGUCUUCGGAUUGUAAAGCACUUUAAGUUGGGAGGCAGGGCAGUACGUUAAUACCUUGCUGUUUUGACGUUACCGACAGAAUAAGCACCGGCUAACUCUGUGCCAGCCGCCGCCGUAAGAC
rnacentral:rRNA from 1 species